GCCUCCUCGCGCACUCCCGCACGCGCGCCGCGCCCUCACCUCUCUCUCCCCCUCCAAACCCUACUCCGUGUCCGCCUCCCUGCCCCGCCGCGGGCCGCCGCCGCCGCCGCCACCGCUGCUCGCCCGGGCACCCAUCCUCGGCCUCACGCUGCCCAUCUAGAGAGAUAGGGGCCGCGGGUGAUGAGGCGGACGUGCCGUCGUCCCGUCUUCUGCGAGGUCGAGGAGAGCCAAUCCCACCUUGUCGCCAUCUCCUUCAUCCAGCCGGCUGCCGCCUUGGCCGACUCCUCCUCCCCUCCCGUCCUCCUCCUGUCGCGUCUCCACCCCGUUGUCAGGCCACAUGCUGCUCCACCCUUCCUCCUCCCCUCCCAUCGUUCCCUCUAAUUCUAGGAGUGGGUGAGGAGGCUGAGCCACUGCCCGCCGCCGGCCCGCAACACCUCCUGAUCGACCACGCCGAGGAAGCACUGGACCUUCAUCCUUGCGUCUGUGCACCUCUGGAAAGGAGACGACCCGAGGAAACGCAGGUCAGCAGUGACUUGGAAUACCUGGUUCUCGCUACAGAUGGUCUUUGGGAUGUCGUGCAAAAUGAGAUUUGGAGUACGUGCAUUCAGGCUUAAAUGUGCAAAUGCACACUGCUGGAGCGCCCUUCAGCAACGAGGAGGCCCAUCGCGACACAGCCGCCGCCUGCGUCGGUUCUCCCCAGCGCGACAUGGACGCCGCCGGCGUCGGUUCUCCCCAGCACAGCCACUCUGAAGACGGAAAGGUCCACUGUAGCUGUUGUUUGUUCCGUUUGUUGAGGCUUGGUCGGCCUGCUGUCUGCUACCGUUUCAGGAGGUUGCAAGGUUUGUUCAUUUAGAUCUUUUGUUCACUGCACAAUGCUAGUGUUUGUUGUUAAAAACUGAAGCUCUUAUGGGCUGCAGCUUAUACUAGAUGAUAUGAAGGUGUGCUCCAUAGCUUUCUGUCCAGUUAUAUAGCAUCCCAUGUGUGUUCUGUAAUUAUUUUACAUUUCUUUUCAUGAUUGGUUGUCAACAGUUUGAAUAACACUACCCUAAUAAUCUGGAUAAAUGAUAGAUGGAAUAAGUACAUGUGUAGUUAGAUCUAACUACGUAUGUUAUAUCUAUAUUACCUAAACAUUUCCACCAUUUUAAAUUAGAGCUUGAAUUUUCAAGAGAACACCUCAUGUUCAACCACUUUCAUUUCCCUUCAUUCUUAGGUUCUUACUAAUGGUCGCUCGAUGGUGCUAAUUGGCUUACGUGGUUAUGUAUUAUGAAUAUUACUGUAUUAGGAAGGCUCGAUCACCAUUAUUUUAGGGAAGUUUAAUCCAUGUAUGUUUUGGCCAUGUAAUUUUAAAUUCUUAGCUGCAUGGAAGUGGUACCUUUUAGUUCUUUGUGCUGCUUACAAAACUAAUCAUCAUUGGGCUGUACAUUGACUGGCAUAACCUAAGAUGAUUUUUAGUAUUUUUCUUCUUGGUAAGCUUUCUGUUAUAUUGGCAAAAAUGUUGCUUGAAGGUUUCAAAUAUAUUACACCCAAACUAUUCCAAGAUUGCUAUUGAAAUCUUCUUUGGAAGUACUUGGAAGGAAGAUUCUUGCCCAGUUCAGCUGCUUUAAUGUUCUUGAAGGACACAUAAAAAAUUUCUGGAUGAUGCAAAUUUAUAUGAAUUACACAUGGUAGAAAGGGUUAAUGCCUGGAUAUUGUGUAGUCUUUGCUCCUUCUCUAGAAGUGGUAUAUGCUCGAAAAUUGUAUUAUCUUUUGUCCAGACUCAAAUUUUAUAUGGCUGCUGGAUCUCUGGUUGGAAUUUAUUUCCUGUGUUCAUGUCUCACUAAGUUACCGCUGUUGAAACUGAAAAAUGUAUGAAUGCAAAAAGGGUUUAUCAAAUCCAUGCUAAUUGCAGGACAUGCUUGUAUUGAAAAAGAAAUCAUCUUUUCACAUAUACAAAACUUUGUAAGGUUUGAGUGCUGGUUUUGGAACAGCUUCCGUUUCUGUUUUACUGUACUCUUCUCGGUACAGAUGAUCCUCUGAACUCUGAAGUUUCAAUUUUUGUUGCAUAUUUCUCCGUUUGCAGACCAGUUCUUUGGUUGUCCUUUUAAUCAAAACUUAUGUUGUUAUGUUUGGAGGCGAGUCUGCAUUGGUCUCAUCCUGAUGGAAUUCAUUAAGAUCAUAUCAUGGUGGGAAUGUUAAGAGCGGGGACCUUAUAUUUAGAAACAGCAAGGUGAUCCAUUUGUUGGUUUGUGCCUUCUUCCUGUUAAGUUGUUUUCAGACAUUAUUACUAGGUGCUAUUUUGUUUGUCAGUGAUAGGCCUCGUGGAGUUGCAGUUGGUAUGUUGGAUUCAUGUUUGCUGCCUUCGCUCUGUAUGGAAAUAUUAUAGGAUAUAAUGUCUUUCUCCUGGGACCAUCGUCAUAAACCAAUCAACUCUUUGAGAAUGGAUGGAGAAGACAACAUCAAGAAGGCCAUGGCUGAGGCAAAACUGUGAACAAGAAGCGGGCAAGAUGUGUUGAUGCAAGAUAUCUUUUGCUAUAUCGUGCAUCAUGAUCGUAUGACCCACUCUAUGCAUAUGAACCACUAUAUUGGAUAUUCUUACAUUUUAUUGAAUCAUAUCCUUCCUUGAGAAUUGUGUCUUAGGGUUUUGCUCUCAUGCUCCUGCUGUUGUACUAAACUUAAUGUCAGCUAAUGUCCUUUGCCACCCCGCACUGUUGUACUAAACUUAAUGGCAGCUAAUGUCCUUCGGGCACCCCGCAUCAAGGUGUGUUGCCUAUUUUUUGUGGUCUUCUGAACACCCUGAACUUGAUAUUACCUUAUAAUCUCUUGCCGAUAUUGAGCA